CCCCUCCAGGUUCCCUCCAAGGCCCUUCUCCACCUGGCACUCAGCAUUUUCAGUGGGGGCCAAGGGAGACAAUGGGAGUCUGGGGACAGUUUUCGGCCAGCAAGCGGCAGGCAGAGAGAGAAAAACUGGCAGGCAAGGAAGGCUGAUGGAGCUGGGUCCCAGCUUUGUCAGCCCGACUGGGCCUGGUGCCACCAUAGAGGGCUCUGCCUCCACAAAUCCCGUUCCUGGGGCUUGAUUUGCGGACAGCUGUCUCUUAGCUGGAGAGAAAGGAGGCUGCCCAAGUGACCCAGAGCCUCCCUCCAGCCCUACUCUGGGCAGGAUAGCUGGGUGGGAAGACCCUGGUUUUCAGGUGGGCAGGGGUCUCCAUCUGAUUCGGACACUUCCUAGAUGUGCCACCUGGGGCGGGGGAGAUGGAAUGAACAAACACGGGCGAUUCAGUAAGUUACAUCAUGGUCACAAGAUGAAUUAUGGAAAUUGCGACAAGAAAACAACAUAGUCCUACAACAUUUCUGAGCUCUUUUUGCCCAGAAUUCACGCUGGCUUGCUGUUUCCUGUUGCUAAGAAUAAAGAGCGAUCUGUAUGUUG